UUUAAUAAAAAUGUAGAGAGCAAAAAACAAAAAACUGGAGAAAUUCUAUUCAUUAACUUAAUUUUCUGGGAAUUAGCCUAUUUCUUCAUUCAUUCAACAAAGACUGAUUGGGCAGUUACUGUGUGCCAGGCACCGUGCCAGGCGGAGGAGACACACAGAAGUAAGGUGCAGGCCUGCCUUCCAGAAGAUGUCUAGUCAUGGCUGCGGUCGAGAAAACGCUAACAGGACCAGAGGAAGUGAAUGCCGUGGUGGAAACAGUGGAGGGACCUACGGAGCCUAGAGCCCAGGGCCAGGGAGGGCAUCCUGGAGGAUGAGCCAUGAGAGAUUCAUGAAAACAUGAGUCCUAGAGCUGCAGUGGGGAGAGAAGCUGGGGAAGGCGCAGCAGCAGAGCAAAGGAACGUGGACAGAGGUGCUGAGGCGUAUGGGACCUUCGUCUUUCUGGGCGCCCUGGGUUUGGGGGAGGGAGGGGAGUAGAGGCAACUAGCCCCCAGGGCUGUGUCAUGACCUUCCAGGGCAUGCUUUCCUUGGGGGUGUGUAGGGAGCAGGUCUUCUCCUAUAAAAAUAUUACAAAUUAUGUUUUAUGACUAUGUUGGAAUAAAGAAUAUAAUCUUUGACCCUAA